rnacentral:rRNA from 1 species
ACUCCUACGGGAGGCAGCAGUGGGGAAUAUUGGACAAUGGGCGAAAGCCUGAUCCAGCAAUGCCGCGUGUGUGAAGAAGGCCUGCGGGUUGUAAAGCACUUUCAGCAGGGAAGAACAGCAUAGGGAUAAUACCCCUAUGUCCUGACGUCACCUGAAGAAGAAGCACCGGCUAACUCCGUGCCAGCAGCCGCGGUAAUACGGAGGGUGCGAGCGUUAAUCGGAAUUACUGGGCGUAAAGCGUACGUAGGUGGCUUGAUAAGUCGAAUGUGAAAGCCCUGGGCUUAACCUGGGAACUGCAUCCGAAACUGUCUGGCUAGAGUAAGGGAGAGGGAAGCGGAAUUUCCGGUGUAGCGGUGAAAUGCGUAGAUAUCGGAAGGAACACCAGUGGCGAAGGCGGCUUCCUGGCCCAUUACUGACACUGAGGUACGAAAGCGUGGGGAGCAAACAGGAUUAGAAACCCCAGUAGUCC